CUCUAGCCCUGAUGGAAGCGGCAUCCUUUUUAUUUUUUCUUUAAAAAUAAAAAGAUAUAGCGGACAGCAGGAAUAGCU
rnacentral:sRNA from 1 species